UAGGGAAUCUUCCACAAUGGACGCAAGUCUGAUGGAGCAACGCCGCGUGAGUGAAGAAGGUUUUCGGACCGUAAAGCUCUGUUGUUGGUGAAGAAGGAUAGAGGUAGUAACUGGCCUUUAUUUGACGGUAAUCAACCAGAAAGUCACGGCUAACUACGUGCCAGCAGCCGCGGUAAUACGUAGGUGGCAAGCGUUGUCCGGAUUUAUUGGGCGUAAAGCGAGCGCAGGCGGAAGAAUAAGUCUGAUGUGAAAGCCCUCGGCUUAACCGAGGAAUUGCAUCGGAAACUGUUUUUCUUGAGUGCAGAAGAGGAGAGUAGAACUCCAUGUGUAGCGGUGGAAUGCGUAGAUAUAUGGAAGAAUACCAGUGGCGAAGGCGGCUCUCUGGUCUGCAACUGACGCUGAGGCUCGAAAGCAUGGGUAGCGAACAGGAUUAGAUACCCUGGUAGUCCAUGCCGUAAACGAUG
rnacentral:rRNA from 1 species